rnacentral:ncRNA from 1 species
UAAGAGGAAGUAUAGGGGGUGAUGCCUGACCAAUGCCGGAAGGUCAAAUACGAUCGUUGCCGAGCACCUUUGACGUUAUAUGUUGUUGUAUGCACAAGCGAAGCAAAAUGCUCCGUUCGUAGUACGCAAUGAAUAUAGUGUUUAAGGUGCUCGGUGGUGGAUUGUAUAAGCCCCGGUCAAUGUCGGCGAUAACUAUAAUCGUCCUAAGGUUGGCCACAUUUUGCAGAAAUGUCA